rnacentral:rRNA from 1 species
UACGUAGGGGGCAAGCGUUGUCCGGAAUCAUUGGGCGUAAAGAGCGUGUAGGCGGUUCGGUAAGUCGGCUGUGAAAGUCCAGGGCUCAACCCUGGGAUGCCGGUCGAUACUGCCGGACUAGAGUUCGGAAGAGGCGAGUGGAAUUCCCGGUGUAGCGGUGAAAUGCGCAGAUAUCGGGAGGAACACCUAUGGCGAAGGCAGCUCGCUGGGACGUUACUGACGCUGAGACGCGAAAGCAUGGGGAGCGAACAGG